CAUGGGUGAAAAUACGGCCAAAGGUAUUUUCCCAAGGGCAGCAUCCCUUUGGAAUUUCCUAAGUGAAAUUUUACUAUUCAUUAUUUAUUUCCCAUUGGAAAUUUCCCCAAUUAAGUGUCAAUUCGAUCAGCUUAAUUGGACACAAAUAGAUCAUUUAUUACAGUUUAUUAAAUUAGUAAAUAAAUGAUCGUUUUGACAAAUUAAACAUGGAAUAUGUAAAAUAGUUAAACACCAGGGAAUCAGAACCAUUAGACUGCAGUGUGUUGCCCAGAUGUUUAAUUUCCGUUACAUAAGAAUAGACAACAAACAGAUGACUGAACCCUAAUU